AGCGAACGCUGGCGGCAGGCCUAACACAUGCAAGUCGAACGAACCUUUCGGGGUUAGUAGCGGACGGGUGAGUAACACGUGGGAACGUGCCUUUAGGUUCGGAAUAACUCAGGGAAACUUGUGCUAAUACCGAAUGUGCCCUUCGGGGGAAAGAUUAAUCGCCUUUAGAGCGGCCCGCGUCUGAUUAGCUAGUUGGUUGAGGUAAUGGCUCACCAAGGCGACGAUCAGUAGCUGGUCUGAGAGGAUGAUCAGCCACAUUGGGACUGAGACACGGCCCAAACUCCUACGGGAGGCAGCAGUGGGGAAUCCUGCGCAAUGGGCGAAAGCCUGACGCAGCCAUGCCGCGUGAAUGAUGAAGGUCUUAGGAUUGUAAAAUUCUUUCACCGGGGACGAUAAUGACGGUACCCGGAGAAGAAGCCCCGGCUAACUUCGUG
rnacentral:rRNA from 1 species